AGCCUGCCACCGUUGUUUGAAGAUACGCCUAAUGCUAUUCAUGAAUUGACAUUAGCAAGGGAUAUUUAUGAGCAUGCCGUUCUUCUAAGUGUGAAGAUUGGGGAUCAGGAUGCCUUUGAAAGAGAUUUCUUUCAAUUGAAGCCAUAUUAUACAGAUGCCAGUGGCCGUCUUCCCCCAUCUUCCCAGGAGUACAUGAUCUUAGGUCUCAACCUCUUGAGACUCCUAGU
rnacentral:misc_RNA from 1 species